AUUGAACGCUGGCGGUAGGCCUAACACAUGCAAGUCGAACGGCAGCACAGUAAGAGCUUGCUCUUACGGGUGGCGAGUGGCGGACGGGUGAGGAAUACAUCGGAAUCUACUUUUUCGUGGGUGAUAACGUAGGGAAACUUACGCUAAUACCGCAUACGACCUACGGGUGAAAGCAGGGGAUCUUCGGACCUUGCGCGAUUGUAUGACCCGAUGUCGGAUUAGCUAGUUGGCGGGGUAAAGGCCCACCAAGGCGACGAUCCGUAGCUGGUCUGAGAGGAUGAUCAGCCACACUGGAACUGAGACACGGUCCAGACUCCUACGGGAGGCAGCAGUGGGGAAUAUUGGACAAUGGGCGCAAGCCUGAUCCAGCCAUACCGCGUGGGUGAAGAAGGCCUUCGGGUUGUAAAGCCCUUUUGUUGGGAAAGAAAAGCAGCAGGUUAAUACCCCGCUGUUCUGACGGUACCCAAAGAAUAAGCACCGGCUAACUUCGUG
rnacentral:rRNA from 1 species